CAACAACAGCUGCUCCAACCACAACCACAGCGGUUCCAACAAUCACAGCUGCUCAAGCCACAACCACAGCUUCUCCAACCACAACAGCUGUUCCAACCACACCAACAGCUGCUCCUACCACAACCACAAUUUCUACAACAGCAACAGCUACCGUUGGCACAACUGAAAUGAGAGUUGUCCGCCGGAUGACCUUUAGGUCUCCUGAUGAUACUUUUACCAGUGGUCUUGAAAACAGUUCUUCAACUGCUUUCAACGAACGGUCCCAACGUUUGUGGAAUCGUCUUUAUGCCCUCUACAGACAAGCAUUUUCAUCAUUCUUGAGGUUGACAAUUGUGUCAUUCAGAAGUGGAUCAGUUAUCAACACGCUGGACCUUGAAUUUCAAGCAACAAAUGUUCCUAAUGAUCAAGAUAUUGMAAAU